GCGCGGGGUAGGAAGCAAGACUGAGGGGCCUCAGACCGAGCUUUUGGAAAAUAGAAAAGUCUCGCUCUCUGCCCCUCAGCCUAACUUCCUCUAU
rnacentral:pre_miRNA from 1 species